rnacentral:rRNA from 1 species
GUGUCAGCAGCCGCGGUAAUACGUAUGUCACAAGCGUUAUCCGGAUUUAUUGGGCGUAAAGCGCGUCUAGGUGGUUAUGUAAGUCUGAUGUGAAAAUGCAGGGCUCAACUCUGUAUUGCGUUGGAAACUGUGUAACUAGAGUACUGGAGAGGUAAGCGGAACUACAAGUGUAGAGGUGAAAUUCGUAGAUAUUUGUAGGAAUGCCGAUGGGGAAGCCAGCUUACUGGACAGAUACUGACGCUGAAGCGCGAAAGCGUGGGUAGCAAACAGGAUUAGAAACCCCCGUAGUCC